rnacentral:rRNA from 1 species
GACGAACGCUGGCGGCGUGCUUAACACAUGCAAGUCGAACGAUGAAAGAGGAGCUUGCUCCUCUGGAUUAGUGGCGAACGGGUGAGUAACACGUGAGCAAUCUGCCCCUGACUCUGGAAUAACUACGGGAAACUGUAGCUAAUACCGGAUAUGCGCCGAACAGGCAUCUGUAUCGGUGGGAAAGAAUUUCGGUCAGGGAUGAGCUCGCGGCCUAUCAGCUUGUUGGUGAGGUAACGGCUCACCAAGGCGACGACGGGUAGCCGGCCUGAGAGGGUGACCGGCCACAUUGGGACUGAGACACGGCCCAGACUCCUACGGGAGGCAGCAGUGGGGAAUAUUGCACAAUGGGCGCAAGCCUGAUGCAGCAACGCCGCGUGAGGGAUGACGGCCUUCGGGUUGUAAACCUCUUUUAGCAGGGAAGAAGCGAAAGUGACGGUACCUGCAGAAAAAGCGCCGGCUAACUACGUG